GGGUUGUGAGGUUAAGCGACUAAGCGUACACGGUGGAUGCCCUGGCAGUCAGAGGCGAUGAAGGGCGUGCUAAUCUGCGAUAAGCGCCGGUAAGGUGAUAUGAACCGUUAUAACCGGCGAUACCCGAAUGGGGAAACCCAGUGUGAUUCGUCACACUAUCAUUAACUGAAUCCAUAGGUUAAUGAGGCGAACCGGGGGAACUGAAACAUCUAAGUACCCCGAGGAAAAGAAAUCAACCGAGAUUCCCCCAGUAGCGGCGAGCGAACGGGGAGGAGCCCAGAGCCUGAAUCAGCAUGUGUGUUAGUGGAAGCGUCUGGAAAGGCGCGCGAUACAGGGUGACAGCCCCGUACACAAAAGCGCAUGUGCUGUGAGCUCGAUGAGUAGGGCGGGACACGUGGUAUCCUGUCUGAAUAUGGGGGGACCAUCCUCCAAGGCUAAAUACUCCUGACUGACCGAUAGUGAACCAGUACCGUGAGGGAAAGGCGAAAAGAACCCCGGCGAGGGGAGUGAAAAAGAACCUGAAACCGUGUACGUACAAGCAGUGGGAGCACCCUUUGGGGUGUGACUGCGUACCUUUUGUAUAAUGGGUCAGCGACUUAUAUUCUGUAGCAAGGUUAACCGAAUAGGGGAGCCGGAGGGAAACCGAGUCUUAAUUGGGCGUUAAGUUGCAGGGUAUAGACCCGAAACCCGGUGAUCUAGCCAUGGGCAGGUUGAAGGUUGGGUAACACUAACUGGAGGACCGAACCGACUAAUGUUGAAAAAUUAGCGGAUGACCUGUGGCUGGGGGUGAAAGGCCAAUCAAACCGGGAGAUAGCUG
rnacentral:rRNA from 1 species